GGAGUGCCAGGGGUGGCCCUUGCCCAGGGUUGGCACACCUGAGCCAGAUUGGCAGGGCUUCCUCUUCUUCCU
rnacentral:miRNA from 1 species